rfam:Ixodes scapularis strain Wikel colony gcontig_1107729109426, whole genome shotgun sequence.
GCCUCGGUGGCUCCAAGGCGAGAGCGCCGGCCUACGGAUCCCCAGGUGGCGGGUUCGAAUCCCGACCGAGGUG